CACGGCUGAAGAGCUGCUCGAACAGUGGUGUUGUGACCGCAUAAGGCUUCUGCGUCACUGUAAUCUGACAGAGGAAAGCUGUAGAGUUCUGUCCUCAGUUCUCAUCUGAAACUCCUCCAGUCUGAGAGAACUGGACCUGAGUCACAAUAAGCUGCAGGACUCUGGAGUGAAGCUGCUCUCUGAUGGACUGAAGAAUCCACACUGUACACUGGAGAAACUGAGGAUGCAGGAGUGCAGUAUUACAGAUGAAGGUUGUGCUGCUCUGGCUUCAGCUCUGAGGUCAAACUCCUCAUCACACCUGAGAGAACUGGAUCUGAACUGUAAUAAUCCAAGAGAAUCAGGAGUGAAGCUGCUCUCUGAUCUACUGAAGGAUCCACACUAUAAACUGGAGACACUACACAUUGAGGAUAAUAAACUCACCAGGUCUGGUGUAUGUGUCCUGACGCAGAACAGAAGUGGACCCAAAUGCAGGAUAGCUAAAACAAAAGGGAUUUAUUAACACAAACACAAAACAGGAACACGGACUCGAGACAGGACUAAACAAAACCAAGACCACAGUAGAUGCCGCGCUGCACGAGGCAACGCGGCACAGUUAAAUACAAAAGACAAUGAUGACACAAUAAGGAUCAGGUGUGACGACAGGGAGGAGCAGACAAAGGCGGGGCAGACACGUGACGAGAAACGUAAACAAACACACGUGUCCAGAGUCCGGGCAGAGUCCUUACAGUAUGACAGGAGUCUCUCCUCAGACCUUUUUUCCAGGAUAAAUCAGUUAUGGUGGUGAAGCGUUAGAACACGUCCCACAUUUCCAGCAUUUUGGGAGCUGAAUCAUUCAUAUUCAGAUGUAGAAGAUCCAUAACAAUAAAUGUGACUGAUCACAUCCUUUUAUCCUCUCAGCUACAACUUCACACUUUAACAUCUUUUACAAUCCAAAGUCAAAUCCUUCAGCAUCUACACACACCACAGAGAUAUCAUCACAUCAUCACACUGAUUACACAAAUACACAUCCAGAUACAGAUGUUUAUAGAUGUGUGAUACAGAUGUGUAUAGAUUAUUUUUACCUCUUUCAUUGUAUCUCAAAUGUGUUUCUCCACAGAUGAUUGGCUCACAGUUGUGAUCUUGAUUUUC